rnacentral:rRNA from 1 species
GUAGGUGGCAAGCGUUGUCCGGAAUUAUUGGGCGUAAAGCGCGCGCAGGCGGUUCUUUAAGUCUGAUGUGAAAGCCCACGGCUCAACCGUGGAGGGUCAUUGGAAACUGGAGAACUUGAGUACAGAAGAGGAAAGCGGAAUUCCACGUGUAGCGGUGAAAUGCGUAGAGAUGUGGAGGAACACCAGUGGCGAAGGCGGCUUUCUGGUCUGUAACUGACGCUGAGGCGCGAAAGCGUGGGGAGCAAACAGGAUUAGAUACCCUGGUAGUCCACGCCGCAAACGAUGAGUGCUAAGUGUUAGGGGGUUUCCGCCCCUUAGUGCUGCAGCUAACGCAUUAAGCACUCCGCCUGGGAGUACGGCCGCAAGGCUG